rnacentral:rRNA from 1 species
CCACGGGAGGCUGCAGUGGGGAAUAUUGGACAAUGGGGGGAACCCUGAUCCAGCCAUGCCGCGUGUGUGAAGAAGGCCCUCGGGUUGUAAAGCACUUUCAGUGAGGAAGAACGCCUGGUGGUUAAUACCCAUCAGGAAAGACAUCACUCACAGAAGAAGCACCGGCUAACUCCGUGCCAGCAGCCGCGGUAAUACGGAGGGUGCGAGCGUUAAUCGGAAUUACUGGGCGUAAAGCGCGCGUAGGUGGCUUGAUAAGCCGGUUGUGAAAGCCCCGGGCUCAACCUGGGAACGGCAUCCGGAACUGUCAAGCUAGAGUGCAGGAGAGGAAGGUAGAAUUCCCGGUGUAGCGGUGAAAUGCGUAGAGAUCGGGAGGAAUACCAGUGGCGAAGGCGGCCUUCUGGACUGACACUGACACUGAGGUGCGAAAGCGUGGGUAGCAAACAGGAUUAGAUACCCCAGUAGUC